CCUGGAGAAGAGCCUUGCCCCUGGACCCCUAGAUUGCAGUCCCUGACAAGAGCAAGUAUGUGGAUCUACAGACUCUCAAAUUGCAGGAAAAUCCCGAGGAUGUUCCAACCGGUGAGCUUCCACGGAAUGUGUUGCUUUCUGUAGACAGACAUCUUGUUCACACAAUUGUUCCAGGAACUAGAUUAACUGUGGUUGACAUAUACAACGUAUUCCAAGCAUCUGGGACAACCAAGUAUGUUUCAGAACCUACUUGCAUAUUUGUUGCUUGGGCAUUUACAGAGGUACACCCAUUCUCCUAGCACGGGCCUCCCAGUGGGACAAGGAUGACAACCCAAUGGAAUGGGAUGCACUUUCUCUACAAUUUAUAUCUUCAAAGAUGACUAGCUGAGUGACAGGCCUGAAAGCUUGAAGCCACUGUUAACUUUUUGCUCAUCUGGAAUUACCGUGGCAAGGUAAAGAGUUCAGGUAUUCAUAUCACAUGGAUUAUCAGAUGAUCGGAAGUAGAGAGCGACUGAACUUAUAUAUCCUUAUGAAUAUGCAGAAACUGAUGGUUAACGGUAUUUGUUUUUGCACACCAAGUGUUUGAUAUUUUAUCUACGUGUCUAUUACAUAAAUUUUGUGUUGUACAGAGGAUACAUGGCGUUGUUUCACAUCUCAUUCAGCAUCUUCUUCAAGGUUACACCUUCUCCUGUACUCAUUUAUUAGAUUUUCAUUUUGUAUUUAUUAGUGGCCAAAGAUCCUUUAGUUGUUGUUCCUAGGUUUAGUUGAUUAUCAAAAGGGUAUUUAGAUCUCGUAAGAAUUGGUUGUUCAAUCUAGGACGUGCAAUAUCUCUAUCUUGUUCUACACCAUUAUUACCUUAUCAAGAAAGUCUCUUAAUGUUUUUUAUUCAUAACAAGUUUCACUGCGGCCAAUCUAUUUCAGUAUUUGUUUAUUCUAUCUAAACUUUGAUUUAUCUUUUUGGGCACUGAUUUUAGUUGACGUGCAGAUGAAAUUAUUUAAGAUUACAUCCAGGCCUCAUUUUACGUAGGACGCCAUCGAUCCCUACAUUCAGCCACCCAGUAGCGGUGCUCCUUGCAUCCAGCUAUGUGAAACGGACGACCCAACAUGGAAUUGUUUUGUUCGUACCUUUGAAAGCGACGAGGUCUAGACUGGAACAAAUACAACAAGGAAGAUAUUUUGCUAGAGGAGAAACAUGUGAACUUCAGUUCUGUUGAGAGAUAUGUAAGACGGCUACACAUUUGUUUGGGGUAACUUUGAUGUAUAGACUUGUGCGAUCUGUGUGCAUAAGAUAUUACUUUAUCCAGUCUAUCCAGUGGUGUACACCUAAUCUUCUUGUUGAUCUUUCUUUUCUAGAGUGUUUUUGUUAUGAACUCUUCCGUGAAUUUGGAGUAUUUUUUUUCAUUUCUAGGACUUCUUACUAACUCUUUUACAUUGUACAGUAGGUUGUGAAGAAUCGGAGAUGUUGAUUUGAAAGAAGAAACAAUCAUCAAACAUGUAUAUAUAUACUGCUACUGUAGUAUUUGUACCUUGCAAAAAAACAAAGCUGAUAAUUUUAAUGUAAACUAUGACAUUGUGGUUUACAAAUAAAUAAAAUGUUUCAUGUGUAUAUUUAUUGCACUAUGCUAAAUUCAUACCAGAGGCUUUCUAAAUUAGAUCAUUUUAAAUUUAAAUAUAUUGAGAGGUUGUAUAUAUGUAUGUCAACCAUAGUGUCGGUUCAAAAGCGUGUGUAGUUCAUAAUUAUUAAUUGUUAUUCACUAUUUAUAAGAAAAAUCUGGGUUUUGUCAUUUCUAAUUACCGUAUCUACUUGGUAGGCACGGUUGUGAAAGCCGUCCCUUGGCCAUUGAGACGGGGAAUGGCUCAUGUAUACAAGGCAAUACAAGUGUCAAUACACAUUUUUUACUGAAAACAUGAAGUAAAUAUCGUGAAAAAAAUGCAUUCUUUGGUCCUAUGGUUACACGUGCGCAUGCACGUGCAUGGUUACUAGUUUAAGUAGUGGCACUCUUUUUUCCCUAGCCCACGAAGCCUCCCUCAUUUUCUUUUCCUUCGCCGCUCCAAAACCUAAUCCCUCUGGCUCAAACACAUCUUAUCCCUCCUUUCCACGCAGCCACAAAUUCCUCUCGUAGGCGCCGUGAUCCACCACCACGUCUCCUCACAACGACCAUGGCCUCCCCCACAACCAUAAUCCAGACCCACACCCGCCUCCCCCCUCCCCCUCACCUCCCCUCAUCACAAGAUAAUAGAGGAGAGACAUCGAGCAAGGAGUCCUAGGUCUACCUCUGUCGACGCGGUUGUUCGUGAGGGAGGAGAUGGGUUCCCUGCUCCAUGCCAACCCUCCUUUCCUCACCUUAGGCGGCAGCCAGAUCGAUGAUCCACACCGUCGUCAAGGGCCUCGACGAAGAUGCUCACACGCCGGUCGUUGCCCAUGCUAUGGACUAUUUGGGGGCGCCGCUCAGACUCUAGUACUCUUUCUAAGAUCCAUCUUCCAUUCCUCUUCUCCCCUCCCCCUCCCUUCCUUGAUGCAAUUUACGUUUUUUGGAUGGAGCAGGUGCAUGUUCGUCUAGAUAAUCAAGGCAUUUGGCUGUCAGCUCGGCUGUAGGUUCAGCCAGCUCUUGUUUCCACUUUCACCAGCAACAGAUCGGCCUCAACUAUAAACAUUGGAGGCGCAAUCUUCAUCCUCAUCCUCAUUGAAGUCAAAUCUGCGUAGUUUAGGCCAUAAACUGGAUUAUAAGUAGAGUUUAGUCUAGAAAAUGCUUUGGGGCCAAUGUUGAUUCUAUUUUUUCACAUAGACAGAGCAUAUAUUCAUUUUUUUCUCAUAAAUAGAGUAAAUGUUCUUCGCUUGCACUUAUGCGGAGUUAAUGUAAAGAUUUUGCACACAUGUAUAUUCAGUUUUUGUAUAUAAAAAAGUCAAUCAUUAGUUUGUGCACUUGAACAUACCAUACAUUCUGUUUUUGCACUGAAUAUCAUCAAAUGUUCAGUUUUUUAAUUUAAAAUAAAGUAAAGUUUUAACUUUAGACACAACGAUGACAUACAUAUUCACUUUAACCACUGAAUAUUUUCACUUAGUACACUGAAAAUGAGCAUAUAUUUUUAGUUUAUGUACUCGCAUACAUAUUCAGUUUAUGUACUGAAUAUUGGCAUAUAUUCAGUUUUCACACUAAAUAUAUGUAGAUGUUCAUUUUUUAGUUUAAAGUUUAAACAGAGUGUACAGGUUCAGUUUUCGCACUUUAUAUGAUAUAUGUUCUUCCACCUAUAGAGUAGAUUUUCAUAGGUAGCAACAUAAUGUAAAGGUUAAGAUUUUAAAAUGCAAACCUAGCCGCUGUCACAUGCCGUUGUUACCAUUGUUGUCCAUAGCUUGGUGUUGCAUCUUCAGCCCUGUGUGUAACAAAUUUGGUAAGGCAACAAUAAUCUUGGCAAUGCUUGCGAAUCUUCAGCCCUGUGUGUAGCAUCAGACUUUUAAAUAUGCACGUAGUACUAUAACAAAUACUGAUUUUUGCUUCUUGGUACUAUAUCCUACUUGCAUAUAUUUAUGGACAACUGUAGGACAUCAACUGUAUAAUAUUGUUGGUGAACACUUAACUUAAAGCAGUGCCUGGACAAAAGAAGGGGGGCCAAACCUACUAACCAGCGGGAUCUGAACAACGUGUGGAUUUCCACAAGGUACCUCCGUUGAUGAGCGACCACGAGUAGCUCCAUGCCUCGGUUAGGCGAGUCACUAUUUUUCAGGACUAGGUGUGGUACUAUUCCUAGUUCCUAAUGAUUUGUCCACAUUUUCUCUAUCCUACUCCUCUCUUUAUAUUUAAUCCAUCGAAUUUGUAAUCUUUGUUUCUGAAUCUUGUUUCUAGGCCAAUCUAGUAUUUAUGUUCUUUGUUUUUCUUAUGCGUAACAUAAUGUUUUCUAGGUUCUGGCUUUGAUACCUAUGAAGAUUUGUAUGUACAGUACAUAUGCUUCUCUGAAAAUAAUGAGUUAAUUUAAUAUAAUUUGUGGCACUGAAGUA